UUAUAGAUGAAGAGAGAGAGAGAGAGAGAGAGAGAGAUCACUUUCCUCUGGGACUUGCCAUAACGUGGGACUGGUUGGGGGAAAGUUGGAGCAAUAAAGGGGCAUUUUGAACUAUCAGCUGAUUAUGCUGCCUUUGAACUACCAACU